UUCUUAAAAAAUUUUAUGCUUAAUUUUGUUAGGUAAAAAAAAAAAAAAAAAAAAUUGAACUACGUUAUGACUUGAUCCCUAUAUUAUAAAGGGUACGUAGGCAGCUUAAGGAAAACCUUAAGCCCAGUCCAGCAAAAAAAAAAAGUUGAACUACGUUAUGACUUGAUCCCUAUAUUAUAAAGGGUACGUAGGCAGCUUAAGGAAAACCUUAAGCCCAGUCCAGCAAAAAAAAAAAGUUGAACUAUGUUAUGACUUGAUCCCUAUAUUAUAGAGGGUACGUAGGCAGCUUAAAGGAAACUUUAAGUUCAUUCCAAUAAAAAAAAAAGGGAGGAAAGACAAAUUACAUUUAAUAGAAAAUAUGAUGAGGAAUGGAACAAUGAAAGAAUAAUUUUUUUUUAUUAU
rnacentral:lncRNA from 1 species